rnacentral:lncRNA from 1 species
GUUAUUAUAGGAGUUGUUAUUGAAUAAGUUUGUUAUUUUAAUUAGGGGAGUUUGUUAUUUUAAUUAGGGGGGUUUGUGUCGAUACAUUAGGAAUAAGCUUAUGGCUAUAAAAGAGGACAGAAAGGUAGGGAUUAAUCGUCUAGGAAUUCCAUUAAGAUUCACCAUCUUGGUGAGGGAAGCACUGUGUGCUUAGGGGCUG